UAAGACGUAGGGUCCAAGCGUUGUCCGGAUUUACUGGGCGUAAAGAGCGCGUAGGCGGCUUGUUAAGUGUGAAGUGAAAUCUCCAGGGCUCAACCCGGAAACUGCUUCGCAUACUGGCAAGCUUGAGGAAUGCAGAGGUUUGUGGAAUUCCUGGUGUAACGGUGAAAUGUGUUGAUAUCAGGAGGAACACCCAUGGCGAAGGCAGCAAACUGGGCAUUAUCUGACGCUGAGGCGCGAAAGCGUGGGUAGCAAACAGGAUUAGAUACCCUGGUAGUCCACGCCCUAAACGAUGGAUACUAGGCGUAAGAGGUAUCGACCCCUCUUGUGCCGCAGCUAACGCAUUAAGUAUCCCGCCUGGGGAGUACGGCCGCAAGGUUG
rnacentral:rRNA from 1 species